CAUCAACGUCAGCCUUGGGCAAGUUCACAUCCACUUCUGGGCCCUCUCCUUUGAAGCCAGGCAUGCUGAACUUGGGCAUUUUCAUCUUAGGCAUCUUCAGCUUGGGGCCCUUCAGCUUCCCUUCUGGACCUUCAAGGCUCACAUCUGGGACUUCAACAUCCACCUUGGGUCCUGAGACAACAACAUCAGCCUUGGGCAAGUUCACAUCCACUUCUGGGCCCUCUGCUUUGAAGCCAGGCAUGCUGAACUUGGGCAUUUUCAUCUUGGGCAUCUUCAGGUGCCAGUCUGGGCCUUGAACCUCCACAUCUGGGGCAUCAAUGUCCAUUUUGGGUCCUUUGAUUUCAACAUCUGGCACUUUCAUUUCACCUUCUACCUUGGGCACAGACACAUCUGGGGCAUCAAUGUCCA
rnacentral:lncRNA from 1 species